GCCCUGUGAUGAGACCAAGGCGAAUGUUAGCUCAUUGGAUAAGAGACCGAGCUCUCCUGUGUUCCUAUUGGCAGAUAAUCUUGGUUGAGCAGUAGAGUUCAGCUGCUUUGCUGUAAGGGCCUGCCUACAUUAAACAAGCCCCUCCUCCCCUUAAGCUCUCACUUUAGAGAUAUGAAUGAAAGGGAGAUGGAUAGGGUGGUCAUUGUGUUUGUUUGUGUGUGUGUGUGUGUGUGUGAGUGUGAGUGAGAGAACACAGGUCGAGACUCUGUUCUCUAUAAUGUCUAAUGGGCUAUGAGCUUGUUCUUUGGAAAUCUGAGGGCA